UAUAUAAUACUUUUUAUUAUAAAAUGCGUAAAUUAAAAAUUUGGAUCACCAAAAUAGCGGUGUGUUCACGGUGGGGUCAUAUCCCUCCUUAAAUAUGUAAAGGAAAAUCCACCAAUAGUGUCCUAUCCCAAAUCAAAUUUGUGAUUAUCUACAUUAUUUAUUUAAAUCAAAUUUGACCUAAGUAGAUAUACUGAAAUAAAAAAAUUUUCGUGAUAAUCGACAAAGGGGAAAACAAAUUAAAUGUUUAAUCUGAAAGUAUCCCUGGGGAAAACAUUGUAUACCUAAAAAUCGUACCUAAAAAUAAAAAAUAUACAAAAGGGUUUUUCUCAACUCUCGGAAGAGAAAUGUUUAGAUAAGCUCAUUCGAUUCGUCAGAUAAUGCCGUUUAGUUGUCACUUGUCACUAUGGCGCAGUGGAGUGUCGUUCACUGUGUGUUUGCAUAUGAAAAACAAUGAAUCCGGUAGUUAAGGUGCAGCGAACAUUCAGACUUCGCUUCGACGUCGGACGGCACGGCGAUGUUCCCAAUCGGGAAACAAUUGUGAGGUGAGUCGAUAGUAAGUUUUCGAACGACGGGACACUUAAUAAAAAAAACCACUUGCAGGUACAUACCGAACGUACUGUAUCCAUCAACUCCCGAGAAAAUUUCAUUAGUUAACGAAUAAUUGUGCUCAAGUGCGUUUACUCGAAAUUUUCGGAACGAUUUGCUUCGAGCUACAAAGAAGAUAGGCGCGGUAAUUGCCUGAUAUUAUUUAAAAAAAAAAAAAAUGAAAUGGCACUUAUUUACAUAAUAUAAUAAAGUGUCAGUUAAAUGUUUGUAGGUCUAAAAUAUACUGAAUUGUGUCCAUCCAUUGUUGUCCCUAUAGUACCGUGGCGUGUAAUUAAUAUAUUCGCCACACGUCCGUCACAUAUCGCCCGUUCGUCGUAUUAUUAAUACUAUUAUUAUAAAAUAUGAAUUAACAGUUUUUUAUUUCGACGCCGUUCUCGGGACGACAAUCGCGUUCGUCGCACACACUGCAUGCAUGUGUAUAUUAUAAAUAAUAAUACCGAUUACCGGCUGCCACGGCGGUCGAGUUAAAUACGCGUACGACGCGUAGGCGUACAAGACAGUCGGUGAAAGUCCGGUCGGCAACGUUUGUCAUGGCCUGCCGGAGACAGUUUUUAUCAUUUACUAAAUAUUUUAUACGCAGCAAUCACGGGCCGCAUGUCUGAGAGAGCAUAUUAUACUAGUUAAAGAAACUUUUCAAAUAGAAUUCCAAAUCGGAAGGUAUUUAAAUGGUAUGUGAAUUACAGAGUGUUUAAAUGUGUUUUCCAAUAAUUAAUAUUUAAAAAAGGGAUUUCGGAACGUAAUUCAAGUGCAGCGGUCUGUUCUACGAGAACGUACCUAAAACUUCAGAUCAAAUGCAUAUGAUGGUUGUCCGUUUUUUGGGUGACGUCACGUCAAAAUUUUGGGCCAAUUAUGUUGCGAUAAAAUUAUUGCACUAACGUCGUCGCGUGCUCUUUAUCGUACGUGAUUAAUAUGUCAAUACGUUUGAACUUCUGGACGUAUUUUUACUGAUGGUAUUCGUUUGGUAUUACGACAAGACGAGUAACAGCAACAACAGUAAUCGUGCAACAUAAUAAUAAUAAUAUAUAAGUACCUAUUAUCAAUCGAAAAACAGAAAGUCACUAAAGUUUAACCUUUUUAUAUUUCUAGAUUAUCUAAUUCAAUUGCAAAUCGCGACAUAAGUGUCAGGAAGUCGUCGCAAUCUGCUCGACAUGCCGUUGUUUGCACUCUGGGCGUCAGCAGUGCGUACCUACUCAUUGACUUUUUAACAGUGAUUUUAAAACCACAAAACUCGAUAUAUCCAUCAAGUACUGUGCUUAGUACAAAUGUAUAGCAAUAGCAGUUAAGUAUGCUGCACAUCGUUGCUGUAGGUCCGCGACCGCACUGUACCUCCCCCCAAAAAUACUUAGUCAAUUAUUAGAAGUCCGGCAACGAUCACCUCUCCGUCGGUUUCGAACCGACAGUUACCCGCGGUCAAUUAUACGCAUAUCUCGUUGAAAAAUCAUUGAUUUGUGUCCGCAGCCAGUCGCUUUUAUUUACCGUCACCGGUAAUAGAUAUGCACAAUCGCAAAACACGCGUGGGUGUCUACUAUAUACGAAUACUUACUUUACGCGAUUACAGUUAAUAGCCAAUAGGUAUAUAUUAUAAUAUGUACCUAAUAUUAAAUUACACACACGAUUUCUGCUGAUUUCGAUCUAAAUACAUUAUUUUAUUUUUAAGAUGAUAGGUAAAUGUGUGUUUGUUCAAAUUGAAACGUAUAAUGAUUUUUUAAUACUGUUAUUAUUUCACCCGCAGAUACGAACGUUAAUACAACGUUGUUACAACAGUAGUAUAUCAGCUACCACGUAUACGCCUAGAGUAACUAACAUAAAGUUGUGAUUUACUAAUUAACACAUACCUAUUCAGUUCAAAUGACGAAGUGCGCGCGUUACCCUGGCGCCAAUAACACAUGAACGUUGUAUACACAAGUUUCAUAUACAAACGAAACAUCAUCAACAUCCGGUUAUACUGCAGUUUAGACAAGUAGAAACUUAUCGAUCAGUGUGAGAAUUUAUCUGGAUAAAAAUGUAUUAAUCUUUA